rnacentral:RNase_P_RNA from 1 species
UGAGUCGGCCAGGCGGCCGCGUCGGGCCCCGUCCGCGGGGACCCGCCGAGGAACGUCCGGGCUCCACAGGGCAAGGUGAUGGCUAACGGCCACCCGGGGUGACCCGCGGGACAGUGCCACAGAGAGCAGACCGCCCACCGGUUCGCCGGUGGGUAAGGGUGAAAGGGUGGUGUAAGAGACCACCAGCACGCCGGGCGACCGGCGUGGCUAGGUAAACCCCACCUGGAGCAAGGUCAGACAGUGCGCGUUCGAGGGCGGCCCGCCCGAGUGCACGGGUAGACCGCUGGAGGCGGCCGGCAACGGUCGUCCUAGAUGGAUGGUCGCCACCUUCGCAGUGCCGGCAACGGCGCGGAGGGACAGAACCCGGCGUACCGGCCGACUCAUCCG